UACAGAGGUCCCAAGCGUUGUUCGGAUUCAUUGGGCGUAAAGGGUGCGUAGGCGGCGCGGUAAGUCGGGUGUGAAAUCUCGGGGCUUAACUCCGAAACUGCAUUCGAUACUGCCGUGCUUGAGGACUGGAGAGGAGACUGGAAUUUACGGUGUAGCGGUGAAAUGCGUAGAUAUCGUAAGGAAGACCAGUGGCGAAGGCGGGUCUCUGGACAGCUCCUGACGCUGAGGCGCGAAGGCCAGGGGAGCAAACGGGG
rnacentral:rRNA from 1 species